AUUGAACGCUGGCGGCAGGCCUAACACAUGCAAGUCGAGCGGAUGAGAGGAGCUUGCUUCUCGAUUCAGCGGCGGACGGGUGAGUAAUGCCUAGGAAUCUGCCUGGUAGUGGGGGACAGCGUUUCGAAAGGAACGCUAAUACCGCAUACGUCCUACGGGAGAAAGCAGGGGACCUUCGGGCCUUGCGCUAUCAGAUGAGCCUAGGUCGGAUUAGCUAGUUGGUGAGGUAAUGGCUCACCAAGGCGACGAUCCGUAACUGGGCUGAGAGGAUGAUCAGUCACACUGGAACUGAGACACGGUCCAGACUCCUACGGGAGGCAGCAGUGGGGAAUAUUGGACAAUGGGCGAAAGCCUGAUCCAGCCACGCCGCGUGUGUGAAGAAGGUCUUCGGAUUGUAAAGCACUUUAAGUUGGGAGGAGGGGUUGUAGAUUAAUACUCUGCAAUUUUGACGUUACCGACAGAAUAAGCACCGGCUAACUCUGUGCCAGCAGCCGCCGUAA
rnacentral:rRNA from 1 species